rnacentral:tRNA from 1 species
AAUUUUAUAGUUUAAUAAAAAUAUUGAAUUGCAAAUUCAAAGAUAGUAUAUUUAUUUAAAAUUU